AUUGAACGCUGGCGGCAUGCUUUACACAUACAAGUCGAACGGUAACAGGUUAAGCUGACGAGUGGCGAACGGGUGAGUAAUGCAUCGGAACGUGCCCGGUCGUGGGGGAUAACGCAGCGAAAGCUGCGCUAAUACCGCAUACGAUCUGAGGAUGAAAGCGGGGGACCGUAAGGCCUCGCGCGAUCGGAGCGGCCGAUGUCAGAUUAGGUAGUUGGUGAGGUAAAGGCUAACCAAGCCAACGAUCUGUAGCUGGUCUGAGAGGACGACCAGCCAAACUGGGACUGAGACACGGCCCAGACUCCUACGGGAGGCAGCAGUGGGGAAUUUUGGACAAUGGGGGAAAGCCUGAUCCAGCAAUGCCGCGUGCAGGAAGAAGGCCUUCGGGUUGUAAACUGCUUUUGUACGGAGCGAAAAGGCUCUCUCUAAUACAGGGGGCUCAUGACGGUACCGUAAGAAUAAGCACCGGCUAACUACGUGCCAGCAGCCGCAGUAA
rnacentral:rRNA from 1 species